rnacentral:lncRNA from 1 species
UCCUUGGGCCUCAAGGGCACCAGGGCCUGACCCCAGCUCCCAGCAUGAAUAGGGUUGGUUUAAACCAGUCGGCAUGGCCCACAGUGACUGGUUUAGGCAUGGGCCUGUCACCCACACUGGGCCAAUGAUAUGUAAGAUGUUUAUUGUAGCUUCCGGGAUGGAAACUUCUCUGCCAGCUUGUGGGUUGGGCAAGGACGACACUCCGGGCCCUACCGGCGGAAGCUCUGCUCCUGUCGUGCGUGGACCACGCAGCAAAUGGCCUUGGAGGCUGCUGGCAGCCAUCUUGUGACCAUGAGGCAAGUCAGCGCAGGCCGAAGCUGACGACGCGAAGACAAUGAGGAGAGGGAGAAAGAGCCGAUCUUUGAGUAAAGGAGGCUGGGCGUGGUGGCUCACGCCUGUAAUCCCAGCACUUUGGGAGGCCGAGGCAGGCGGAUCACCUGAGCUCAGGAGUUCAAGACCAGCCUGGCCAACAUGGUGAAACCCCGUCUCUAGUAAAAAUACAAAAAUUAGCCCGGCAUCAUGGAGUGUGCCUGUAGUCCCAGCUACUCAGGAGGCUGACGCGGGACCCUCGCCUGAACCUGGGAGGUAGAGGUUGCGGUGAGCCAAGAUCGCACCAUUGCAUUCCAGCCUGGGCACGAAGCGAGACUCCGUCAAAAAAAAAAAAAAAAAUUAAAGAAUAAAAUUUCUGCAGGCAUCUCAACAGCUACAGAAACAGCAUUUUGUGCAAUUCAAUACUGAUUUGCAGGGGCCAGGGGUCAUGGCUCAUGCCUGCAAUCCCAGCACUUUGGGAGACCAAGGCAGGUGGAUCCCUUGGGCUCAAGAGUUCAAGAUCAGCCUGGGCAAUGUAGCAAAACCCCAUCUAAAAAAAUAAGAAAAUAUUAGGCAAGCAUGGUGCAUAUGUGCACAGGGCGCACACCUGUGGUCCCAGCUACUGGGGGUCUGAGGUGGGAGGAUUGCUUGAGCCCAGGAGGUUGAGGCUACAGUGAGCCGUGAUGGUGGCCCUGGACUCCAGCCUGGGCAACAGAGUGCAACCCCGUCUCAAAAAAGAAAAAUACUCAUUUGCAACUUUUAUUUUUUUAAUUAAAAAAAAAUUUAAUUUAUUUAUAUUUUUGGGGACAGAGUCUCGCUAUGUCACCCAGGCUGCAGUGCGAUGGCAUGAUCUCAGCUCACUGCAACCUCCACCUUCUGAGUUCAAGUGAUUCUCCUGCCUCAGCCUCCUGAAUAGCUGGAAUUACAGGUGACCGCCACCAUGCCUGGCUAAUUUUUGUAUUUUUAGUAGAGACGGGGAUUCACCAUGUUGGCCAGGCUGGUCUCGAACUCCUGACCUCGUGAUCCACCCAUCUCAACCUCCCAAAGUGCUGGGGUUACAGGAGUGAGCCACCGUGCCUGGCCUCAUUUGCAAUUUUUAAAAAUUGCUUUGCAAUGCCGGGCGCGGUGGCUUACGCCUGUAAUCUCAGCACUUUGGGAGGCCGAGGUGGGCACAUCAUGAGGUCAGAUCGAGACGAUCCCGGCUAACACGGUGAAACCCCAUCUCUACUAAAAAUACAAAAAAAAAAAUAGCUGGGCAUGGCGGCGUGUGCCUAUUAUCCCAGCUGCUGGGGAGGCUGAAGCAGGAGAAUGGCGUGAACCCGGGAGGCGGAGCUUGCAGUAAGCUGAGAUCGCGCCACCGCACCCCAGCCUGGGUGACAGAGCAAGACUCCAUCUCAAAAAAAAAAAAAAUUGCUUUGCAACCUAGUAGUAGAAGAACAAUUCCUUGAUCUGAUAAAGAGCAUUCCCUUAACAAGAUAUAGCAAAAUUUAAAACCCGUGAAUUAUAGAAAAGAUACACAUUUGAUUAUAUAAUAUUUUUAAAAAUAUGCAUGGCACAAGACUCUAUAAACAAAUAUACACAAUGGAAGCCAUGGUGGGAGGUAUCGGCCAGGGCCACGUCUGAGUCCUUGGCAGAGCUGGGUCACGCAGUGAAGAGCUGGGAGGGGCCUGGACAGGGCAGCAGUGGGUCAGGUUUGGGCUUAAAGAAGACGUCCCAGCUGGUGGUUCUUCAAACAAUUAAACAUACAGUGGCCGUGCAACCCAGCAAUGCCACUCCUAGGUGAGGACCCAAGAUAAAUGAAGACGUCCGGCCAGGCGCAUUGGCUCACACCUGUAAUCCCAGCACUUUGGGAGCCUUAGACAGAUGGAUCACUUUCAGCUCAGGAAUUAAAGACCAGCCUGGGCAACACAGGGAGACCCUGUCUCGUUAAAAAAUACAAAAAUUGCCAGGCGUGGUGGCUCAUGCCUGUAAUCCCAGCACUUUGGGAGGCCGAGGCAGGCGGAUCACCUGAGGUCAGUAGUUUGAGACCAGCCUGAUGAACAUGGUGAAACCCCGUCUCUACUAGAAAUAGAAAAAUUAGCUGGACGUGGUGACUAACACCUGUAAUCCCAGCUACUCAGGAGGCUGAGGCAGAAGCGCUUGAACCUGGGAAGCGGAGGUUGCAGUGAGCCGAGAUCACGCCAUUGCACUCCAGCCUGGGCAACAAGAUGAAACUCCAUCUCAAAAAAAAAAAAAAAAAUUAGCUGGGCAUCGUUGUCUUGUGCCUGCGGUGCCAGCUAUUCUGGAGGCUGAGAUUGGAGAAUCAUUUGUGCCCAGUGAAGCAGAGGUGGCAGUGAGCCAAGAUCAUGCCACUGCGCUCCAGCUUGGGUGACAGAGUGAGACUCUGUCUCAAAAAAAAAAAGAGUCUACAUAAAACAUUGUGCGCGCCUGUGCAUAGCAGCACAUCCAUAAUCACAGAGAGGCGGAAACAGCUGUGUCCAUCAACAGAGGUUGGUCACACAGGGGGUCCUGUGCCCAAUGCAGUGGACUCUUGGGCCUUAGAAUGAAGUUCUGAUCCACACGGCAGCACCGACGGACCUUGGGCACUGUGCUGUGUGAAAUAAGCAGACAGAUGCUGUGUGGCAGCACUUACAGGGGCAUCCUGAGCGACUUUGUGGAGACAGCUCUUAGGGCUGGGGAGGGAGGGAUGCGGGAAGGGGGCGGGAGCUGGAGGGUGGAGGGCUCUUUCUGAGAUGAGGAAAUGAUCUAAAACUGCCUGCGGUGACGGCUGCACAGCUCUGAAGAUGCAGAAACUCGCUGAGCUGGACGCAUUCUGAAUUGUGUGGUAUGUGAAUUAUGUCUCAGUAAAGCCAUUAAAAAAAAACACCCAGGAGCCAGGCGCAGUGGCUCAUGCCUAUAAUCCCAGCACUUUGGGAGGCGGAGGCAGGCGGAUCAUCUGAGGUCAGGAGUUGGAGACCAGCCUGACCAACAUGGUGUAACCUCGUCUCUGCUAAAAUACAAAAAUUAGCUGGGUGUUGUGGCGGGCACCUUUAAUCCUGGCUACUUGGGAGGCUGAGGCAGGAGAAUUGCUUGAACCUGGGAACGGGAGGUUGCAGUGAGCCAAGAUCGCGCCAUUGCACUCCAGCCUGGGCGACAGAGCGAGACUCCGUCUCAAAAAAACAAAACAAAACAAAACAGCCAGGCAACCAAGUAGACAAUGGAGGGAGGGGGUGACAGCUGAGGACGCCCAUUGUCUGCUGGUGCUCCAGGCGGUGCUCCCCACUCCCAGCCCAGUCGCCCCCUGCUCCUGGCCUGGAUUUGAGGCCUAGAGAGACACCUGCCCUCCCCCGGAUCCGUGCCCCGCAGAAGUGCAGUCUUGGUGCCCAAAUGUGCGCCCGCUGGGGCAGAGGAGAAUCCGCGGGGCCUGAAGCAGAAUCGCGCCCUCCCCCCAACCUGCCGGCUGCCCGGGCGCUCCCCAUGGGCCCAGACGCAGGAGACAAAGGAGAACAUGGGGGUUCAGGUAUGCACUGGGGCGCAGACAGGGCCAGGCAAGACAAGAGGGCAGGGCUGCCGGGAAGGACGAGUGCCUCGGGAGCCUCUCUGCAGGUGAGACACAGGUUGAAGCAUUGACUGAUUUGUUCUCUCGCAGUGAGGCAGGAGAGGAGGGAAUAAUUGGGGUGACCCAGGGUUGAGGCGUGAGCAAGAGAACAGCAAAGGCAGCUGGUUCUGGGUAACACUGGGCCUCACUCCUAUGGUAACAAGACAGUUUCCACUUCAGCCUCUGAUUGGCUGUGAGCCAGUCCUUCAUAAGGAGUCACCAGUUGGAGGCCUCUAAAGGGCACCUGGGGUGUUACCAAAUUCUCCUGGCUUCCUAAAAACCCUGGGGAGCACUGCCAUAGAGGCUCUGGGGCCGCCUGCUCCGCCCGCUGCCUCUCUGUGAAUUGCACCUUGUGGUCUUCAAUGAAUCUGUGCUUUCGUCACUCCGUUUUUUGCUUGUCUUGUCUUUCGUUACUUCAUUCUUUUGUUGCUUUCUUUGUGCGUGUUCAAUUCUUUGUUCUGCACACAAGAACCUAAACAACUCACAGUCGAGACCUUCCAACCAGUAACACCAGCGGCCCCUCCCCUGGGAAGCCUCCAGAGGACGGGAGGCUGCCUGUAAAAGCUGAAGAGUCCUGAGUCUUCUGCGUGAUUCCAGAGACUCCUGGGAUGCCCUGGGGUGGGGGGCAGGGGAACGCUGGGGCACGGGUGGACCCAGGAAAGAGACGUGUAGAGCGCCUUGCCCCACCACCCUCCUCCCAGGCCAUGUCAUCUGCCACCCAGGCCAGGGCUACACCUCACCUGCCACUCAGGCCAUACCAUACCCUCACCUGUUGCCCAGGCCACACCCACAUCCUCACCUGUUGCCCCUCCUCCUUGCGGCCCAGGAGGUCUCUGAAGAUGCAGGCUCUACCUUCUGCCCGGCCCCCAGCCCUCCACCCGAGAAGUGGAUGUGAAGUCACUCUGUGCAUCUCCGCCCCUUUCCCACCCAUUGGCCCUUGCCCUGCUCAGGGUCCCACGCUCUUCCCUCCUCCUGCCCCUCGUGGCCCCUCCUGUCUGCCCUGGCCCCCCCACACAUCCAGGGGGCAGUUUGCUUCCUCCACUGACCUCCCCUCUCUGUGACAUUAUCUGUUUUUACAAACUUCAGGCAUCUAAGCCGGGCACAUUGGCCCAAGCCUGUAAUCCCAGCACUUUGGGAGGCCGAGGCAGGCGGAUCACUUAAGCUCAGGAGUUCGAAACCAGCCUGGCCAAGAUGGUGAAACCCCAUCUCUACUAAAAAUACAAAAGAUUAGCCGGCUGUGAUGACGCGCACCUGUAAUCUCAGCUACUCGGGAGGCUGAGGCACGAGAAUCGCUUGCACCCAGGAGGUGGAGGCUGCAGUGAGCCGAGAUCACGCCAGGGCACUCCGGCCUGGGCGACAGAGUGAGACUUCGUCUCAAGAAAAACCAAAAAUCCAAAAGAACUACAGGCAUCGGCUGUGUCCCCACUAGGAAGCCGGAGGGGAGCAGGGCUGGGUGUGUCUUCUCUGGCUGCGUCCCUGCGGCCACAAGGCCUGUUCUUCCUCUGUGCCCCGCCUGCCAAGGACCCAGCCUUGUGAAGGAUGGAUGAAUGAAUCAUUGAGCAAAUGAAUGAGUGUGUGAACAGGGAGAGUCUGCAGCAGGGAGACCCCGGCAGCUUCGAGUAUGGAGGGGAGACUCUGGCCGCCUGAGGCACCCGGAAAGGCAGCUCUGUCCCUGCUGAGUCACGCGCACCAUCCUGCAGACGGGAGGGCAUCUUCCUAGGCUUUCCUCCAGCCAAGAGUGGAGCUGGGACCUGGGAACCUCCCUGGAACCACCCCUGCUCUCCGGCAAGGCGUUCCACCAGCCUGUGUCUACACACGUAGCCCCGCAGAGCAGGCUUCGUGAUGCCUGGAGACACCCACUUCCCCUUCCUUCUCCUGGGACUUCUCAGUCACACGGGCUGAGCUGCAGAGGAGCUGGCUGCCAGGUGCUGAGCCGCCCCAAGAAAAAGCCCUCGUGGCAAGAAACUGAGGCCUCCAGCCAGCAGUCAGGGACCCGAGGCCUGAGACGGUGGAGGGUGAGCUUGCAAAGGGACCCCACAGUCGGGCCUUGAGAGGCCCACGGGCCUGGCCCACACCUCGGCUGCAGCCUUGUGAAGGUCCCUGAGCAGGGGACCCAGACUUCUGUCCUACAGAAACUUGGAGAUAAUAAAUGCCUGCUCUUCUACGGCACUGAGUGUCGGGUGAUUUGUUACGGGCAGUAGACAGCUAAUACCUGCCCCUUAGGACACCAAGUCCUCGCCUCCUGGAGGCCCAAGCCCCAGGGAGCCAUGCCUGACUUGCCGCCUGUCGAUGGGCCACGCGUUCCUUGUUGAUGCCAUUCUGGGGUCCCCUCACCCUGACAUACUAGGAGCCAGUUCCGAGGGAGGCUCUUCUGCCACCAACCCUGGCCCAGGGGGACACUGAGCUCCUUGAUGCUGAGGGCCGGUGGUUCCUUAUCGCCUGGCGACCAGCGUGUCCUCCGGGUCCUUUUCCAAUACCAGCACCUCCCAGCUCAAAAACACAACCCAGCACUCCUGUUCCUCCGUCUCCCGGCCCUCCCUCGACACUGGGCCGAGGCAGCCUGUGCACCUGCCCCAAGCUCCCAGGAGCUGACCCAGCAGCGGAUUCGGCCUGGUUCCCGGCAUCCUUACCGGGAUUUGGAAAAUGCUCCUUUCAAUCAAUAAAGGCCCCACGCGGGCCUUCUUCCGCCCUCCCCUCCAGCAUCCUCCAUCUCCAUUUCCACCCGUCCUCCCCGUCCUGCCAGGCCGCAGCUCCUUGCAGAAUAACCCACACCCUCCAGUCGCAGGGACAGAACACCCUAGUUACUGGCCUAGAAUUUUGCGGGGGACGAGGACAGGCAGACCCUAAGGAGGACACUCGCCUCAGGUGAGACCUUUGCAAGGUCCCGGCAGUGGGAGCCACUCCCGCCACUGCGGAGGGAACAGAGGGCAGGGAUCUAAGAGGCUUCUACCCAAAUACCGCAUCCAGGUCAUAGCGUCCCACCCCCCGCUGCCACCGGGGCCCUGACUUCAACACGGGAGGCAGACCAGACGCCACCGCCCUGGGAUCAGAGCUUGGGCCCGAGGGUUGGCCCCGUCUGCACUCUGGCUUUCGGAAUGAGGCUCGCUGUCAAUGCUGUGGUGGAGCUGCAUUCGUUUCCGGGGCUUCUAUAACAAGGUGCCAUAGAACAGGGCUCCAACAGCAGCCCAUUCUCCCACUGUCCUGGAGGCUGGAAGUUCGAGACCAAGGUGCCUGCAGAGUUGGUUCCUCCUGAGGCCUUUCUCCCUGGCUUGUAGAUGGCCCUCUUCUCCUGACUCCUCACACAGAGUCAUCCCUCUGUGUGUAUCUGUGUCCUAGUCUCUCUUCUUUUUCUUUUCGCUUCUUCUUUUUUUUUUUUUGAAGACAGGGUCUCUCUCUCUCUGUCACCCAGGCUGGAGUGCAGUGGUGUUAUCAUAGCUCACUGCAGCCUAGACCUCCCAGGCUCAGGUGAUGCUCCUACCUCAGCCUCCCAAGUAGCUGGGACCACAGACAUGUGUCACCACACCCGACUAAUUUUUUAUAUUUUGUUGUAGAGAUGGGGUCUCACUAUGUUGCCCAGGCUCAACUGGCUUUAAGCCAUCCUCCCACCUCGACCUUCCAAAGUGUUGGGAUUACAGGUGUGAGCCACUGAGCCUGGCCCUUAUCUCUUUUUCUCAGGACACGACUCAGGCCGGGCGUGGUGGCUCAUGCCUAUAAUCCCAGCACAUUGGGAGGCCAAGACGGGCGGAUCACCUGAGGUCAGGAGUUCCAGACCAGCCUGGUCAGCAUGGUGAAACCCCGUCUCUACUAAAAAUAUAAAAAUUAGCCAGGUGUGGUGGCCAGCGCCUGUAAUCCCAGCUACUCGGGAGGCUGAGGCAGGAGAAUCGCUUGAACCCAGGAGGCGGAGGUUGCAGUGAGCCAAGAUCGCACCAUUGCACUCUAGCCUGGGUGACAGAGUGGGACUCCGUCUCAAAAAAUAAAAAAAGUGGGGGAUGGGGGUGGGGGUGGGGGUGGGCCAGGCGCGGUGGCUCACGCCUGUAAUCCCAUCACUUUGGGAGGCCGAGACGGGUGGAUCACCUGAGGUCAGAAGUUCGAGACCAGCCUGACCAACAUGGGGAAACUUCAUCUCUACUAAAAAAUACAAAAAUUAGCCGGGUGUGGUGGUGGGUGCCUGUAAUCCCAGGUGCUCAGGAGGCGAAGCAGAAGAAUCACUUGAACCCAAGAGGUGGAGGUUGCAGUGAGCCAAGCUCGUGACACUGCACUCCAGACUGGGUGACAGAGCAAGACUUCAUUUCAAAGGAAAAAAAAAACAAGGCCAGCGGUCAUGUGGGAACAGGACUCGCUGUAAUCCCCUCUUUAAAGGCCAUAUCUGUAAAUACAG